rnacentral:lncRNA from 1 species
UAUCAAAGAUUUCAACGUAGUCAAAAACCACUCCCAACUUGCAUUUUUCUCACCAUCAACUACAACAAAAGCAAGGGGAUAAUGAUGAUGAUCUGGAUCCUGAGCAGUGGCAAUGAGAAGCACUCCUUUGUACACACCCUUCAGGUGAGUUUCAUCCAUUAUUAUCACUUGUCUCAUUGCCUUGAACCCUUCUAUGCAAGCUCUGAGCGCUAAGAACAUAUAUUUAAACUGGUUCUUCUCAUCCACUUCUAAUCGUAUAAUGGUAUCAGGAUUCAUCUUUUCUAACAUGUACAAAUAAGAUGGCAGCCUAGCAAAACUCUCCUCUAGGUUACCAC